rnacentral:rRNA from 1 species
GAUGAACGCUGGCGGCGUGCCUAAUACAUGCAAGUCGAGCGAACGGACGGGAAGCUUGCUUCUCUGAUGUUAGCGGCGGACGGGUGAGUAACACGUGGAUAACCUACCUAUAAGACUGGGAUAACUUCGGGAAACCGGAGCUAAUACCGGAUGAUAUUUUGAACCGCAUGGUUCAAAAGUGAAAGACGGUCUUGCUGUCACUUAUAGAUGGAUCCGCGCUGCAUUAGCUAGUUGGUAAGGUAACGGCUUACCAAGGCAACGAUGCAUAGCCGACCUGAGAGGGUGAUCGGCCACACUGGAACUGAGACACGGUCCAGACUCCUACGGGAGGCAGCAGUAGGGAAUCUUCCGCAAUGGGCGAAAGCCUGACGGAGCAACGCCGCGUGAGUGAUGAAGGUCUUCGGAUCGUAAAACUCUGUUAUUAGGAAAGAACAUAUGUGUAAGUAACUGUGCACAUCUUGACGGUACCUAAUCAGAAAGCCACGGCUAACUACGUG